rnacentral:rRNA from 2 species
GGGCCUAAAGCAUCCGUAGCCGGCUGCUCAAGUUUCCGGUUAAAUCCACACGCUUAACGUAUGGGCUGCCGGAAAUACUGUUCAGCUAGGGAGUGGGAGAGGUAGACGGUACUCGAUAGGAAGGGGUAAAAUCCUUUGAUCUAUUGAUGACCACCUGUGGCGAAGGCGGUCUACCAGAACACGUUCGACGGUGAGGGAUGAAAGCUGGGGGAGCAAACCGGAUUAGAUACCCGGGUAGUCCCAGCUGUAAACGAUGCAGACUCGGUGAUGCAUUGGCUUAUGGCCAGUGCAGUGCCGCAGGGAAGCCGUUAAGUUUGCCGCCUGGGAAGUACGUACGCAAGUAUGAAACUUAAAGGAAUUGGCGGGGGAGCACAAGC